UACGAAGGGGGCUAGCGUUGCUCGGAAUCACUGGGCGUAAAGCGCACGUAGGCGGUUUCUUAAGUCAGGGGUGAAAUCCUGGAGCUCAACUCCAGAACUGCCUUUGAUACUGGGAGACUCGAGUCCGGGAGAGGUGAGUGGAACUGCGAGUGUAGAGGUGAAAUUCGUAGAUAUUCGCAAGAACACCAGUGGCGAAGGCGGCUCACUGGCCCGGUACUGACGCUGAGGUGCGAAAGCGUGGGGAGCGAACAGG
rnacentral:rRNA from 1 species